AUUGAACGCUGGCGGCAGGCUUAACACAUGCAAGUCGAGCGAGCGGCGGACGGGUGAGUAAUGUCUGGGAAACUGCCUGAUGGAGGGGGAUAACUACUGGAAACGGUAUCUAAUACCGCAUACCCUCAGCUGUUCCCAGAUGGGAUUAGCUAGUAGGUGGGGUAAUGGCUCACCUAGGCGACGAUCCCUAGCUGGUCUGAGAGGAUGACCAGACACACGGGAACUGAUACACGGUCCAGACUCCUACGGUAGGCAGCAGUGGGGAAUAGUGCACAAGGGGCGCAAGCCGGAGGCAGCAAUGCCGCGUGUGGGAAGAAGGCCUUCGGGUUGUAAAGCACUUGCAGCGAGGAGGCGUUACUCGCAGAAGAAGCACCGGCUAACUCCGUGCCAGCAGCCGCGGUAAUAC
rnacentral:rRNA from 1 species